UGACUGGAUUGUUUUCUUAGC
rnacentral:siRNA from 1 species